UGGUGGGUUGCCUUGUCAGGUUGAUUCCGGUAACGAACGAGACCUCAGCCUGCUAAAUAGUAACACAUACUUUGGUAUGUGCUUUACUUCUUAGAGGGACUAUUGGCGUUUAGUCAAUGGAAGUGUGAGGCAAUAACA
rnacentral:rRNA from 1 species